rnacentral:rRNA from 1 species
GAUGAACGCUAGCUACAGGCUUAACACAUGCAAGUCGCGGGGCAGCAUGGGGGUUGCUUGCAACCCCCGAUGGCGACCGGCGCACGGGUGAGUAACGCGUAUCCAACCUGCCCUUCACCACGGGAUAACCCGGCGAAAGUCGGACUAAUACCGUAUGUUGUCCAUUGACGGCAUCCGAUUUGGACGAAAGGCUUGGCGGUGAGGGAUGGGGAUGCGUCCGAUUAGCCAGACGGCGGGGUAACGGCCCACCGUGGCUACGAUCGGUAGGGGUUCUGAGAGGAAGGUCCCCCACACUGGAACUGAGACACGGUCCAGACUCCUACGGGAGGCAGCAGUGAGGAAUAUUGGUCAAUGGGCGUAAGCCUGAACCAGCCAAGUAGCGUGCAGGAUGACGGCCUUAUGGGUUGUAAACUGCUUUUAUGCGGGGAUAAAGUGGCCCACGUGUGGUUUUUGCAGGUACCGCAUGAAUAAGGACGGCUA